rnacentral:rRNA from 1 species
AGAGUUUGAUCCUGGCUCAGAUUGAACGCUGGCGGCAUGCCUUACACAUGCAAGUCGAACGGCAGCACGGAGCUUGCUCUGGUGGCGAGUGGCGAACGGGUGAGUAAUAUAUCGGAACGUACCCUAGAGUGGGGGAUAACGUAGCGAAAGUUACGCUAAUACCGCAUACGAUCUAAGGAUGAAAGUGGGGGAUCGCAAGACCUCAUGCUCGUGGAGCGGCCGAUAUCUGAUUAGCUAGUUGGUAGGGUAAAAGCCUACCAAGGCAUCGAUCAGUAGCUGGUCUGAGAGGACGACCAGCCACACUGGAACUGAGACACGGUCCAGACUCCUACGGGAGGCAGCAGUGGGGAAUUUUGGACAAUGGGCGAAAGCCUGAUCCAGCAAUGCCGCGUGAGUGAAGAAGGCCUUCGGGUUGUAAAGCUCUUUUGUCAGGGAAGAAACGGUGAGAGCUAAUAUCUCUUGCUAAUGACGGUACCUGAAGAAUAAGCACCGGCUAACUACGUGCCAGCAGCCGCGGUAAUACGUAGGGUGCAAGCGUUAAUCGGAAUUACUGGGCGUAAAGCGUGCGCAGGCGGUUUUGUAAGUCUGAUGUGAAAUCCCCGGGCUCAACCUGGGAAUUGCAUUGGAGACUGCAAGGCUAGAAUCUGGCAGAGGGGGGUAGAAUUCCACGUGUAGCAGUGAAAUGCGUAGAUAUGUGGAGGAACACCGAUGGCGAAGGCAGCCCCCUGGGUCAAGAUUGACGCUCAUGCACGAAAGCGUGGGGAGCAAACAGGAUUAGAUACCCUGGUAGUCCACGCCCUAAACGAUGUCUACUAGUUGUCGGGUCUUAAUUGACUUGGUAACGCAGCUAACGCGUGAAGUAGACCGCCUGGGUAGUACGGUCGCAAGAUUAAAACUCAAAGGAAUUGACGGGGACCCGCACAAGCGGUGGAUCAUGUGGAUUAAUUCGAUGCAACGCG